rnacentral:rRNA from 1 species
CCAAUAGCGUAUAUUAAAGUUGUUGCAGUUAAAAAGCUCGUAGUUGAAUUUCGAGAUCAAAUUGUUGGUCGUGCCUCGGUACGUACUGGCAAUUUUGGUUUCUCCCUUCUGAAGAACCAUGAUGUCAUUAAUUUGGUGUCUUGGGGAAUCAGGACUGUUACUUUGAAAAAAUUAGAGUGUUUAAAGCAGGCUCGCGCUUG